rnacentral:rRNA from 1 species
AGUCGACGCACAGCGAAAGGUGCUUGCACCUUUCAAGUGAGUGGCGAACGGGUGAGUAACACGUGGACAACCUGCCUCAAGGCUGGGGAUAACAUUUGGAAACAGAUGCUAAUACCGAAUAAAACUUAGUGUCGCAUGACAAAAAGUUAAAAGGCGCUUCGGCGUCACCUAGAGAUGGAUCCGCGGUGCAUUAGUUAGUUGGUGGGGUAAAGGCCUACCAAGACAAUGAUGCAUAGCCGAGUUGAGAGACUGAUCGGCCACAUUGGGACUGAGACACGGCCCAAACUCCUACGGGAGGCUGCAGUAGGGAAUCUUCCACAAUGGGCGAAAGCCUGAUGGAGCAACGCCGCGUGUGUGAUGAAGGCUUUCGGGUCGUAAAGCACUGUUGUAUGGGAAGAACAGCUAGAAUAGGAAAUGAUUUUAGUUUGACGGUACCAUACCAGAAAGGGACGGCUAAAUACGUGCCAGCAGCCGCGGUAAUACGUAUGUCCCGAGCGUUAUCCGGAUUUAUUGGGCGUAAAGCGAGCGCAGACGGUUUAUUAAGUCUGAUGUGAAAGCCCGGAGCUCAACUCCGGAAUGGCAUUGGAAACUGGUUAACUUGAGUGCAGUAGAGGUAAGUGGAACUCCAUGUGUAGCGGUGGAAUGCGUAGAUAUAUGGAAGAACACCAGUGGCGAAGGCGGCUUACUGGACUGCAACUGACGUUGAGGCUCGAAAGUGUGGGUAGCAAACAGGAUUAGAUACCCUGGUAGUCCACACCGUAAACGAUGAACACUAGGUGUUAGGAGGUUUCCGCCUCUUAGUGCCGAAGCUAACGCAUUAAGUGUUCCGCCUGGGGAGUACGACCGCAAGGUUGAAACUCAAAGGAAUUGACGGGGACCC